CCAUGCGUUUUGGCUGUUAAGUUUGGUGAUGUUGGCCUCCCUAAGGAUUUUUCACCCUCUCACAAGGUGUGUCCAGUAAACAGUACAGUCACUGAUCUUUCUCAACUUUUUAAGAAAAUAACAGAAUAUGAAGAAGGAAGACUAUAUAUAGGAUCGAUCUACUUCAUAACUGGAAAAAGAGAAGCAGUUCACAAAUGUUGAUGAGCAGAAGACAAGAAACUCUGGCUGCACAAAAAUCUGAGCUCUUGAAAAAGAAAGAAAAAAAGAAAUGAAAAUAUGAAUGAUAUUCAAUCAAAGGAUCCAAAUGAUGAAAUUCUGGAAAUUUCACAUGGAGAGACAAUAAGGAUUUUUGAAUUGACCAUCUUAAUCUUUGCUCAAACUGCUUGAAAGCACUGAAAACUGUUACCCUGGUGCUGAACAAAUUUUUCUCCUAGACUGGAAUUAAAAACUGUUCAAUUUCUGGCAUUAAAACACAAUUUGAAACAUGCUGAGGAAGGAUCCCCCUCUUCCAUUUGACCAA